rnacentral:lncRNA from 1 species
GUCUGGAUGGGUAGCUGACAAAAAAAAAAAAGUGAAAAACUUGAAUUGAUGGGUGGCUAAAGGAAAGGUAAAGAUGUCUGAAUUGGGCCAGAGAUAGCAGAAUGAGAGAGAGGGACUUGGUCAGAGUCAGCCUCAGGGAUAGGGAAGAGUGACACAUGACACUCAUAUACGACCAACCAACACUGCUUUACAAUAAUGAUAAGAACAAAUAAUGUAGACGAUAGAGGGAAGGAGCGAGAGAAUAUAGUAAGAAAUUAAAAGGGAGUUUUGGCUAGGAAAUUAGAGAAUUGUUAUGUUCUAAGCUUUGACGUUAAACAUGAGAUUCUGAGGUACCUUUUAAUAAGAAAACUAAUACAUAAACACUCAUUUUCGUUGACACUAAUCUAGUAUCUGGGGUCCUCGUUAGCUAAAUGAAGUUGAACUAAAAAAAAAAAAAAGUUGAACUAUAAGUUUAGUCAUGACCCAUCUAAUCGGAUAUCAGUAUUAGGCUUCUCAAAAUGUGUUCUUAGUUUGCGGGUGUUUUAAUCUGGUUGUAGAUAAUGGGCUGAGUUCAUAAAUCUC